AUGAAAAAUAAGAUAUUAAGAUUGCGUGCCUCAACGAACGACUGUAUUUUGUGCUCCAGUGCGGCUACUCCGAGUUCGAGCCAAACUCGGGUCCAGCGGGAUCAGAUAGUCGAGGCUCGUUGCCGGAGCGCACGGUUCAGGGCAGAGCACAGUGCGCGCGUCACCGAGAACGAGGACACCGGGAUCUUCGACGUUGUCAAUUUACCCCAUCCUCGAACUGCUGGUCCAGUAGUGAGCUCGCUCCUGCCAAUUCCUUUGCCCAACCUCGACUCCGGUCUUCUGUGCCCGUCUUACCUUCCCACCAUUACCUCGUUCUCUCGUCGUGAGCUCGCCGCCCGGCGUCGUUCUCUGCUCCUGCCAUUAGCCACUAUCGAAUCGGCUCGAGAGCCCAGGUCCCUCCAUUCCAAGCGGCUCUAUGUAUCAACUUGUACAAGGGGUUGUCUCGUCGGCUUCUCGCCAAACCGUCACCCGCCGUUGUCGUCGGCCUGCGCUGCGUAG
rnacentral:rRNA from 1 species